rnacentral:rRNA from 1 species
GAUGAACGCUGGCGGCGUGCUUAACACAUGCAAGUCGAACGGGAAACCUUUUAUUGAAGCUUCGGCAGAUUUAGCUGGUUUCUAGUGGCGGACGGGUGAGUAACGCGUGGGUAACCUGCCCUAUACAGGGGGAUAACAACCAGAAAUGGUUGCUAAUACCGCAUAAGCGCACAGGGCCGCAUGGUCCGGUGUGAAAAACUCCGGUGGUAUAGGAUGGACCCGCGUUGGAUUAGCCAGUUGGCAGGGUAACGGCCUACCAAAGCGACGAUCCAUAGCCGGCCUGAGAGGGUGAACGGCCACAUUGGGACUGAGACACGGCCCAGACUCCUACGGGAGGCAGCAGUGGGGAAUAUUGCACAAUGGGGGAAACCCUGAUGCAGCGACGCCGCGUGAAGGAAGAAGUAUCUCGGUAUGUAAACUUCUAUCAGCAGGGAAGAUAGUGACGGUACCUGACUAAGAAGCCCCGGCUAACUACGU